GACGAACGCUGGCGGCGUGCUUAACACAUGCAAGUCGAACGGUGAAGGUGAAGCUUGCUUCACUGGAUCAGUGGCGAACGGGUGAGUAACACGUGAGCAACCUGCCCCGAACUUUGGGAUAACUUCUCGAAAGGGAAGCUAAUACCGGAUAUGAAAUGUUCUCGCAUGAGAAUGUUUGGAAAGUUUUUUCGGUUCGGGAUGGGCUCGCGGCCUAUCAGCUUGUUGGUGGGGUAAUGGCCUACCAAGGCGACGACGGGUAGCCGGCCUGAGAGGGUGACCGGCCACACUGGGACUGAGACACGGCCCAGACUCCUACGGGAGGCAGCAGUGGGGAAUCUUGCACAAUGGGCGAAAGCCUGAUGCAGCGACGCCGCGUGAGGGAUGACGGCCUUCGGGUUGUAAACCUCUUUCAGCAGGGAAGAAGCCUUUCGGGGUGACGGUACCUGCAGAAGAAGCACCGGCUAACUACGUGCCAGCAGCCGCCGUAACAC
rnacentral:rRNA from 1 species